GUAGUACCUAAUUUUGUUCAUGCAAUUAUUAUAUUCUUCCAAACCACAGAUCUUAUUUGUAAUAUAUUUACAUUAUUAAAACAUUUAUUGCUUUAAUUUGUUGAUACAAAACUAUGUUCGCUUUCAUAAAUUAGUUUUAUUGCAUUAAUGCAAUUUUUCUACUUACUAAGGUUUUAAGAAUUUGACUUAGUUUAUAAAAUGUACCUGUACUGUAGUUUUUA